rnacentral:rRNA from 1 species
GAUCAUGGCUCAGGAUGAACGCUGGCGGCGUGCUUAACACAUGCAAGUCGAGCGAAGCACUUAAGUUCGAUUCUUCGGAUGAAGACUUUUGUGACUGAGCGGCGGACGGGUGAGUAACGCGUGGGUAACCUGCCUCAUACAGGGGGGAUAACAGUUAGAAAUGGCUGCUAAUACCGCAUAAGACCACAGUACUGCAUGGUACAGUGGUAAAAACUCCGGUGGUAUGAGAUGGACCCGCG